rnacentral:snRNA from 1 species
AGCCUAACACCUCGAUACCAUGAUCACGAAGGUGGUUUUCCCAGGGUGAGGCUCAUCCAUUGCACUGCGGGUGUGCUGACCCCUGCGAUUUCCCCAAAUGCGGGAAACUCGACUGCAUAAUUUGUGGUAGUGGGGGACUGCGUUCAAAAACAACUCCCUC